GUGCGCGGCGCACGGGAGUGAAGCUCGCGCGGGUCGUGCGCGCGCCGCCGCCCUGCACCAGCCUGCCGCCAGCCAAACCUUCGACACCUGAAAAAAAUAAAUCCAAAAAACCUGAAAAGGCGUUUUCCGAUCUCUUUUGUAAUUAAUUAACCAUGGCGUUCGGCGCGAGCUCGCUUGUUCCCAAACACCGGUGUUAGUGCACAAUAUGGUCCGCCUCAAAGCUGACGGGACUUAAAUUCGAUAUAGUGAUAGUUGUCGUAUUGUGGUGUGUAUUGUUAGUUAAAUUGUAUAUAAAGUGUUGUGCGACUUGAAACCUGAUUCAUUUACUAAGACUACACCAAACCCUAUGGGACCAACAUACACCUGCAUAAAAUACCGUCGUAUACAAUAUAAAUAAAUAAAUCAAGCUAAAUAACCUAAAUCCUAAGUUGAAUCCUGAAGACUUUAUUAAACCUACUCAAUAUACAGAAACCUAGUUAGCCUCUUCCAAUAAUACAAUUUCUAAAUCUUCCGUAGUAAGUGUAUGAGUGCGUGUGUUGUGGAGUGCAGAGUGCAGUGAGAUGAUCAGUGACUGUUGGUGCUGACGCGUGACAGCGCAUGGCAUUGUGGAGACGCGCCCGCCUGCGCCACGCGACUACCACUAGAGAAAGAUGAGCGGCACAGAGGAUGGCGUCGCGGUGCCCAAUACGCCAGACGCAGGCGGUGGCGAGGUGGCGGCGGAGUCCCCGGCGGCGGCGGGUGAGGGCGCGGGUGCGGGCCCGCUCAUCCCCGUGCCGGCCGCGCCGCGCAAGCCGCCGCGCCGCGGCCCUAAGGUGCAGCAGGAACGCCCCAAGCGGGCGCUCUUCUGCCUCACGCUCAAGAACCCGCUGCGGAAACUCUGCAUCAACAUCGUCGAGUGGAAGCCGUUCGAGUGGAUGAUCCUGACGACGAUCUUCGCCAACUGUGUGGCGCUGGCGGUGUACACACCCUUCCCCGCCAGCGACUCCAACUAUACCAACUGGGUGCUUGAAAAAAUCGAAUAUAUAUUUCUGGUGAUUUUCACGGGCGAGUGCGUAAUGAAGAUUAUCGCGUACGGGUUCAUGAUGCACGCCGGCUCGUACCUGCGCAACGGGUGGAACCUGCUCGACUUCACCAUCGUCGUCAUUGGUAUGGUGAGCACAGUGCUGUCGAGUAUAUUCAAAGAUGCGUUCGACGUGAAGGCGCUGCGAGCGUUCAGAGUGUUACGGCCGCUGCGAUUGGUAUCCGGAGUCCCUAGUCUCCAGAUCGUUCUGAACUCGAUCCUGAAGGCGAUGGUGCCACUGCUGCACAUCGCCCUGUUGGUCAUCUUCGUCAUCAUCAUCUACGCUAUCAUCGGCCUCGAGCUCUUCUCCGGCAAAAUGCACAAGACUUGCUACAAUAAGUAUACAAAUGAGAUAAUGGAUUCUCCGCACCCGUGUGACGUGGACAACGGAUUCAACUGUUCGUCUCUCGGCGAGGAGAUGGAGUGCCGCGAGAAUGGCUGGCAGGGGCCCAACGAUGGUAUCACCAACUUUGAUAACUUCGGCCUCUCCAUGCUCACAGUCUUCCAAUGUAUCACGCUUGAAGGAUGGACCGAUGUCAUGUACAAUAUUCAAGAUGCAAUGGGCAAUAGUUGGGAAUGGAUUUAUUUUGUGUCGAUGGUCAUAUUGGGAGCAUUUUUCGUCAUGAACCUCAUUCUCGGUGUGUUGUCUGGAGAAUUCUCCAAAGAAAGAGAGAAGGCGAAAAACCGCGGCGACUUCCAGAAACUACGAGAGAAGCAACAGUUGGAAGAGGAUUUGAAGGGUUAUCUCGAUUGGAUCACACAGGCCGAGUACUUGGAACCGCUAGCUGACCAACACGACGCCAACGACCAGAAGAGAGAUUACGGCAUCGGUAUUGGUCAAACUCCAAACGAGCACGAUUCAACGGAUCACCUGGGAAUAGAACCCAAUGAACAACAAAAGGUUUCAUUAUGCAAGCUGUGGAGGAAAGACUUUGAUAAGGUGAAUCGACGAAUGAAACGUGCAUGUCGUCGUGCUGUCAAGUCACAGACCUUCUACUGGUUGAUCAUCGUGCUUGUGUUCAUGAAUACCGUAGUUCUAGCCAGCGAACAUUAUCAUCAACCUGAGUGGCUCGACUACUUUCAAGAGUACGGGAAUGCGUUUUUUGUAGCGUUAUUUACGAUAGAAAUGCUUGUAAAAAUGUACAGUUUAGGUUUACAAGGGUACUUCGUGUCGCUGUUCAACCGGUUCGACUGCUUCGUAGUGGUGGGGUCCAUCAGCGAGAUGGUGCUCACCAAGACGGAGGUGAUGCCGCCGCUCGGCAUCUCCGUGCUGCGCUGCGUGCGCCUGCUCAGAGUGUUCAAGGUCACCAAGUACUGGCGGUCGCUGUCGAACCUGGUGGCGUCGUUGCUGAACUCAAUCCAAUCAAUCGCGUCGCUGCUGCUGCUGCUGUUCUUGUUCAUCAUGAUCUUCGCGCUGCUCGGCAUGCAGGUUUUCGGCGGCAAGUUCAACUACGACGCCGUCAUUGAGAAAGACAGGCACAACUUUGACUGCUUUUGGCAGGCGCUGCUCACUGUCUUUCAGAUAUUGACGGGUGAAGAUUGGAACGCGGUGAUGUAUGAGGGCAUCAAGGCGUACGGCGGAGUCGGCACCUUCGGCAUAGUAGCCUGCAGCUACUUCAUCAUUCUAUUCAUCUGCGGCAAUUAUAUCCUACUAAACGUGUUCUUGGCUAUCGCUGUGGACAAUCUCGCAGAUGCAGAGUCCUUGACCAACAUCGAAAAGGAGGAAGGAGCUGUAGAAGAGAAAGAAGGAGGCAGUAUUGUGGAGCAGGAAGGAGCUCACGCGGAUACGGAUGAUGAGUACAUUCACGACGAUGACGCUUACACCACUGAUAACUCAGAAAGAGAGUACGAAGAAACAGGUUCAGAAGGUGAGCAACAAGAAGAAAUAGAAGGAGAAGAAAUGGGACAAGAAGGAGACGAGGGAGACCGAGAGAGAGUGGAGGAAGAACAAGAACCAGAAGAGGAAGAGAUGCAUCAGAGGAAUCAUAUAGUGAGCACAGAGCUGGAGGAGGGCCCGCGGCUGAAGCGCAAGCCCACGACGUCGUCGGCGCGGCCGCGACGCCUCUCCGAGGUCGAUAUACACGACACUAAGAAACCCAUCCCUGACGCCUCGUCCCUCUUCAUAUUUUCCAAAACCAACAGGUUCCGCGUACUGUGCUACAACAUCUCGGCAUCGUCGACGUUCGGCAACAUCAUCCUGGUGUGCAUCAUGCUCUCCUCCGCCAUGCUGGCCGCUGAGGACCCCCUAGAUGCCGCGCAGAAGGGGUUCAGAAAUUGGUUGUUAAGUCAAUUCGACGUGUUCUUCACGAGCAUCUUCACGCUGGAGUUGUUCCUGAAGCUGGUGACGUACGGGCUGAUCCUGCACCAGGGCGCCUUCCUGCGCUCCGCCUUCAACGUGCUCGACAUGCUCGUCGUCUGCGUCUCGCUCAUCUCUAUGAGCUUUAAGUCUGGUAGUAUAUCGGUGGUAAAAAUAUUGCGAGUGUUCAGGGUGCUGAGGCCUCUUAGGGCCAUCAAUAGGGCCAAAGGCCUUAAGUAUGUGGUGAAAUGUGUGAUAGUAGCGAUUAAGACUAUAGGAAAUAUAAUGCUAGUUACAUAUUUAUUACAAUUUAUGUUCGCGGUCGUCGGUGUACAGUUGUUUAAGGGUAAAUUUUUUAGAUGUAAUGACAUUUCGAAAAUGACGAAGGACGAGUGUCAGGGGACGUAUUUAGUAUUUGAAAAGGGCAACUACGCCGUGAGAGAUCGUGAAUGGACGAGAUACGACUUCCACUUUGAUAACGUGAUGAAGGGAAUGCUCACUCUGUUCACCGUAUCCACGUUCGAGGGAUGGCCAGGGUUGUUGUAUGUAUCGAUAGAUUCGAAUGCUGAGGAUCGUGGUCCCAUAACUAACUUCCGUCCAAUUGUUGCAGCCUACUAUAUUAUUUAUAUUAUUAUAAUUGCCUUCUUUAUGGUUAAUAUAUUCGUCGGUUUCGUCAUAGUGACAUUCCAAAAUGAGGGUGAGCAGGAGUACAAGAACUGUGAGUUAGACAAGAACCAGAGGAACUGCAUAGAGUUCGCACUGAAAGCCAAGCCUAUACGACGAUACAUCCCAAAGCACCGCAUUCAGUACAAGGUGUGGUGGUUCGUGACGUCGCAGCCAUUUGAGUACGCGAUCUUCGUGCUGAUCAUGAUCAACACUAUCACUUUGGCUAUGAAGUACCACAAGCAGCCCGACGAGUACAGCACCGUGCUUGAUAUGCUCAACAUGAUCUUCACCGCCAUCUUUGCGCUCGAGUUCAUAUUCAAACUCGCCGCUUUCAGGUUCAAGAAUUACUUCGGCGACGCGUGGAACACGUUCGAUUUCAUCAUCGUCUUGGGGAGUAUCAUAGACAUCGUGGUAUCGCAAGUAAACGAAAUCAAGAACCAAGGAAGUGGAUCGGGGAGAGCUCACAAGGAGAGCUCGAUUCCAUCGAUAAACUUCUUCCGACUUUUCCGCGUGAUGCGGCUGGUAAAGCUGCUGUCUCGUGGCGAGGGCAUUCGCACGCUGCUGUGGACGUUCAUCAAGUCCUUCCAGGCUCUGCCGUACGUCGCGCUGCUGAUCCUCAUGCUGUUCUUCAUAUACGCCGUCGUGGGCAUGCAGGUUUUCGGGAAAAUAGCAAUAGAUGAUGAGACACCUAUCACCAGGAACAACCACUUCCAAACGUUCCCACAAGCCAUCCUUGUGUUAUUUCGAUCUGCCACUGGCGAGGCGUGGCAAGACAUAAUGAUGGCUGUGUCUCCGGAGCCAACGGUGAAGUGCGACCGCAGCUACGAGUUCGAAGAGGGCGAAGAGAACAGCGGUUCGUGCGGCAGCGUGCUCGCCUUCCCCUACUUCAUCUCCUUCUACGUUCUCUGCUCAUUUUUAAUCAUUAAUUUGUUCGUCGCCGUCAUUAUGGAUAAUUUCGACUAUUUAACUAGAGACUGGUCAAUAUUGGGACCACACCACUUAGAUGAAUUUAUAAGAUUAUGGAGCGAAUACGAUCCCGACGCCAAGGGUAGAAUAAAACAUUUAGAUGUAGUUACUUUACUUAGGAAAAUUAGUCCACCUCUAGGUUUUGGUAAGCUAUGUCCGCACCGGGUGGCGUGCAAGCGGCUGGUCUCGAUGAACAUGCCGCUCAACUCGGACGGCACCGUGCUCUUCAAUGCGACGCUCUUCGCCGUCGUCAGGACCUCGCUCAAAAUUAAAACAGAAGGUAACAUCGACGAUUGCAACACGGAGCUGCGAGCGGUGAUCAAGAAGAUUUGGAAGCGAACAUCGCCUAAACUGCUAGACCAGGUGGUGCCGCCACCAGGAGACCCCAACGAGAUCACCGUUGGCAAGUUCUACGCCACCUUCCUUAUACAGGACUACUUCAGAAGGUUUAAAAAGCGAAAGGAGCAAGAGAUGCGUCAAAGCGAAGAACAGAACCACCAAAUGACGCUGCAGGCGGGGCUACGCACGCUUCACGAGGCCGGGCCCGAGCUCAAGCGAGCCAUCUCGGGAAACCUCGACGACAUAACCACCGAGUGCGACGUGCCCAUGCAUAGGAGAAACCACUCUCUGUUCGGCGGUGUAUGGUCGAGUAUACGAAGGCACGGGCCCAACAGACACUUCCACCGGCCGCGGAAACCUGGGGAGGUGGCACAAGAUGGUGUGGGCAAUCAUCUUAGUUCGAUGAUGCAACGUGAAUAUGGAGUAAUGGGACCGCUUCCAAUAACGCCAAACCUGGCAAAUGGUCAACCGAGGGAGCAGAUACCAUUAAGGCCUUUAAUAUUCAACGGGGAGUCGGAGAAAAUAUACCAAGUGCUAGAGCGGCGAUAGCGGCGAGCGCGGCGUGGUGUCGCUGCCCGGCAGCCCCCGCGGCCCGGCGGCCGCCGCGCCCGUCGUGGGCUCCGCUGAGAGCCUCGUCACCAGGGUGUUGGCAGAGCAGGGUCUGGGCGCUUACUGUGACCCGG
rnacentral:misc_RNA from 1 species